rnacentral:rRNA from 1 species
GACGAGGGGUCCAAGCGUUGUUCGGAAUCAUUGGGCGUAAAGCGGGCGUAGGUGGCUUUGCAAGUCAGGAGUGAAAUCCCCGAGCUUAACUUGGGAAGUGCUUUUGAAACUGCAGAGCUUGAGUGUGGGAGAGGAUCGUGGAAUUCCAGGUGUAGUGGUGAAAUACGUAGAUAUCUGGAGGAACACCGGUGGCGAAGGCGGCGAUCUGGCCCAACACUGACACUGAGACCCGAAAGCGUGGGGAUCAAACAGG